AACGCACAUUGCGCCCGCCAGUAUUCUGGCGGGCAUGCCUGUUCGAGCGUCAUUUCAACCAUCAAGCCCCAGGCUUGUGUUGGGGACCUGCGGCUGCCGCAGGCCCUGAAAACCAGUGGCGGGCUCGCUGUCACACCGGGCGUAGUAGAUUUUAUCUCGCUCUGGGCGUGCUGCGGGUUCCGGCCGUUAAAAAACCCUUUUAACCCAAGGUUGACCUCGGAUCAGGUAGGAAUACCCGCUGAACUUAA
rnacentral:misc_RNA from 1 species